UAGUAGUGGAGACUCAGAGCUCCCUCCACUCAUAAGGCACACCGCUUCUGUCCUGGCAUGAACCCUCUCUUAACCCUCCGACGACUACUGUGCAGUUGCCCUCUCACUGCAACCGCGUGCUCUUUGUUCUUCAUUCAUCGGUGCUCCACUCCUCCAGGUGGCAUAUUGAGGGGAAGCAGCCGAAGUAAAUGAUAGGAGCGCUUCUGUUAACUCUUUUGUUUUCGAUUAAGCCGUUUAUAUUUUCUUUAAACUAUUUUCGUUCGGACUUAAAAACCGUGUUGAUUAUUCAAUACUUUCAUUUUCACUCAGUAUAAUAGAAGAUCGAAGUUAUCUCUUAAGUAAAUUUUUUUGUCCCUGUUUGCAUUGAAACUAUUUUUCCGUAAGCAAGGAACAUAUAUUUUAUUACUAUAUAAUAUUAAUAUUAACUUUACUCAAUUAUUAUAAAUAUUUUAUAAACGAAAUCGACUUUUUUCUCAUCAUGUGUUUGAUCUAUAAUUAUAUUAAUCUUUAAUGAAAUUUUUACUACUCGUUUUAAGUCCGACGUAAUUAAGAAACCGAUUACUCUGAACUUAAAAAAAAAAAAAAAAAAAAAAAACGAAAAUCGUGCCUGUUGUACUUCUGCUUAUUUGAGAGGGUGAUGCCAGUAUCAGAAGUAGGUCUUUAGAAAUUUUUUUUAACGUAAUUUGGUAGUUAAAUUUAGAGUCCAUCUGCAUGAAAACCAAAGAAACUUUUAGGAAGAACUGCGGUAAGUGAUCCCUCAAGAACUUCUUAGCUUGAGAUGAAAAAUUCUUUUGUCCUUAGAAGCCUUCCUUCAUCCCUAGCCAAACGAUUCGUCGCCCUUUUGCUCGCGGGCUAUUGGAUGGUCAACAUACCAAAAUAGAACGAACUGGUCGCCUUCAACUGUCCAAACUCCCCCACUGCUUCAAGAAGAAGAUAGACUCUUCCAUUCUAAAAUAGUUGCCUUAAGCCCGCCUAAGACUGUGAAACAUCUUUCGAACAUAAUAAUGUUUCUUCUAAAUUCUUUGUUCAUCUAUUUUUAUGUAAAGGAUUUAUUUCCUAACUUAAAAACGAAACCAUUAAAAAUAAAAUUAUUUUGUUCUA